UCAUAUAUAUACACAUUUUUAAAUGUACAGAGUAAUAUUCAUCAUAGAAACUUGUUUUGUUGGUGGUGUUUUGUUUGGUCUUUUUGUUUGUUUGGUAUUUGUUUGUUGUUUGUUUGUUUUUAAGUUACUUUGCUUUCUUUUCAGAGAGGGAGAGAGAGAGUAAUUUUUCUUACUCAAGGACCAUUGAUCACAAAGUAAAGGAUAGGAAUUUCCCUGAUCUCCGGACUUUGGUACUGUUUUCUGAUCAAAAAUUGAUACCUUCUUCAUCAAGAUGUCUUUGGCAGGAUUAGUGUAUCAACAAGACCUAAUGAAUUUUUUCAGUUUAAUUCUAUAUAAAUGGAUCAUGUCAUGGAUCGGUUUGUUAUAACAUCUGCUACCUAAUAUGUAAGAAUUUUCUCUUGAGAGUUGAAAAAUUCAGGGCAAUUUGUUCCAAGCACUUUCUUUAUAAUGAGGAGUUAAAUUAAUGUAUCUGGUUUUGAGUGGCAGCUAAUAAGCAGGUAUGGAAAUACCUGUGGGAAUCUUCCACUUCCUUUGCAAAUGACUAGAAGUGUUGCUAGAAAACUUAAAAAGCAGAACAACUGAACAACUAAACAGAAAGAUGUAGUUCUGUGCUCCUGUCUGGGCUAGCUGGAAGAUUAGUAUUUUGUUCACCAACAUUACAGAUCUCGUCUCUCUACCUGUGCCAAGAGUGGCAGCAUCUUAAAGAAGUUACCAUAACAUUAUGUGACUACACAAGAAAAACAUGGAAUAUCAGUCCUUAAAGGUCUGUAUAUUAGUCAUCUGCUUGCCAUUUCCAGAGUGUCUUCAGACAAAAGUAUUCAUAUAGCAUUGUUUCAGUUGUUAGCCAGGCCAAGAGUCUACAGGGAGGCCAGGCCUUCUCAAAAACUGAUGAGAGAUGCUGGAGUAGCAGUAUUUUGUUACUGUGAGAUGUGGGGCUUCCCUUUCUCGAGAAAUAUUAGGAAAAAAAAAUAUUAGGGGUAGAGCUGAAUAUUUUAUUUCUUUUCAUCUGAGUUUAGUUUUUGCAAAGCCAAAAUUGGGCUUUGAAUAUUGUUCCAAUGUAAUUAAUUCAUUACAGGAACUUGUAUUCAAAUAAAAUAGAUAAGAGUAUGGCAAACUAGGAAGAAAGUGUUGAAUUUUGUUGUUUUUUGGUUUUCCAAAUAAACUAUGCCACCAGAAAGUACUUUCUGCCUUCUGGAUCAUAGUUAUUUAGCAAAUUAAUCCUUUAAAACAUUGUUUUGGUCUUGUCAGUCAUAAGUUUUCCUCUGGAUUUAGUUGACUGAAAGUAGUUUAAGCACAGUUAACAUGUGUAAAGCUGCACAAAGAUGCCUCUUCCAAGCUGGAGAACUGUGAAUUUACCCUGUCUGCAUAACAAGAAAAGGUAUUUGUAUGGGGGGAAAAUAAAAAAUAAAAAAAAUAAAUAAAAAUAAAGAAAAAAAGUGAAACAGUGGAGCAGGGUGGGGAAUAUUUUGUAUUGAUGAAUUUGAAUCCUUACCUUUAAACUGAUUAAUUUUGGAGAAAAUUACACUGGAAUAUGACGGCUUCAGCAUUAUCUUAUAAGGAACAUGAAGUACGUAUCACAACAGCAGUUGGGGGGAAAAAAAAAAUGGCAAAAUAUAGCCAGCAUAGUAGAGGAAAGCAAUGAGUAUCAAUCCUGUUUAUUGCAGUACAUUAAAUAAUAAACUUCAGGUUUACACAGUCCAAAGGGUUAUGCUCCAGACGAUAUUAGCUCAGUAUGGUGAGACAAGAGUUGAAAACAAUUUUUUAUGCUAUAAUUUGGGGGAGAGAAAGAAAGAAGUCUAAACUUGAGGGCAGUCAUUAGAAUCCAUUUUCAAAUGGAAUAAUUAUGUCUUUUCAUUUAUUUUCCAUUUUGUUUUCUCUUAGUUGUGACUUUAAAUAAAUACAUGAAAGCUGAGUAAGUGAAAGUUGCAGCUUUUGAAGUUCUUUGGCUCAAUGUUUAAUUUCUAAACGGUGUUAUUAUUUAGUCCUAAACUGUAAAGGCCACUGUAUUCUACAGUGUUGAAAUUGUGAAAUACGCUGUUGCAAGAAGCACAGGAAAGCAGUUGUAAUGUUUAUUGCUGAAAUGGACAAAACCAGCAACCUCUCUAAAAUGCAAGUGUGUUUAAAUGUGCGGUUUGUAAGUGAAUAACCCUUUCCAAGCUUUGCUUUCUAUAGGUUUUCUAUACACACAUACUGUGACUCUCUUCUCAUUGGGAAUGACCAAGCUCCAGUUAUUUAUUUGUAGCUGGUUGGAAGCUGUGAAACUUUCUUCUGUUUUAAUACAGAUUCUUACACAUUAAAGUUUGAGGACCGUCACCAAUCCAAUAAUCCUUAAUAGAGAAAUAAUGAAGAUAAAUGUAUAUUUCAACAGAACAAACCCACACUGAACUUUUCUCUUUUGUAAUAAGCAGUCCCAAUAGACAUUGGGAAGUACAAAUCUAUUUGUCAGUCUGGCAUGACAAAGCUUUGGUUCUCCUGCCAGGGUCCUGUCCUUGGUGCAACUCCCUCUCUUCUAGCUAGCAGUGGCAUGAGUACUGGUGUAUGUUGGCUGCAAAUUACUUCAUUUUUCACAGCCAUCACCUCCAGGCUUUCUGUAAGCAGUGUUAAAUGCCUUGUUAGUAUAUAAUAUUGCAGACCUUGGCUGAUGUGUUUCCAUGAACUAUAGCGGAGGAAGAAGAAAAUCACUACUCAAAAGGUGAUUAGGGACUUGCAUUAAAGAUUCUUAUGCAACUGGUAAGAGAGAGAGUGCUGUGAGUUGUCACAGAUUUUACAGGUGUGUUGUCAUCAUUGCAGCAGUGGUGGGAGAAUUACAGAUACCAGAGUACAGAAAGACAAAGUGGACAGCCUGAUGUUGCUGGUCAUUGCCUUCCUCUACUGAGAUGGAUGUUCCAAGUGACAAAGUGGCUGUCCCAGAUUCAGGAGGGCUGACUUCCUCAUAUAACAGAUUUUGCUUGAUCUUUGGACAGAUAAUUUGUGGUGCAGUUUGAUGGAGCAGUUAAAGUAACAAAUGCUGCUGAACAGGCAAAUCUUGUCCCCUGCCUUAGGCCAAACCCCAGACUCUUUUUCUGCAUUAGCACUAAUGUUCACCUGGUCCUGAGGAGAGCUGAAACAGCAGAAAAUAUUGCCUAACAGCAAUAACAAAAAUAUGAUAAGCCUAAAACAAUAUUUCAGCUGUCAUUAGGGAGCAGAAGCGAAUUUUCUUUCUUAAUUUAUAGCAGUGACAAAAAUCGUAUAUAGCUAUCUGUGGAUUCAUUGCAUCUGGCACAUUCCCCAGACAUACUACGUCUUUCUAAAGUUUCUUCUAAUUCUCACUGGCCACAAUAAUCUACCGUAAUCCAGGGGAUAUAGUCACCUUGCUGCUUACCUCUUCCAGCUCAUUAAUACAUCGGUGGAAUGUCCUCGGUCCAGUCCUCAUCGUGGUGCCAAGGUCACUCUAGUAUUAACCUCUGUCAACGGUGAGAAAUAGCUACUGACAUGUAUAUCUACUUCUCUGUCACAUUUUACACUACCUUAAGACUUUAGCCCAUGCUGGUUGCUGAAUUUCUCCAAUAACUUCUUGUGAAGGAGGUUUUAAAAAAUCUUUGGAAAGUUUAAACAUUUUCUAUCUACAGGUUGGUGUAUUUUAAAAUCAAUCAGAUAAUGUGUAGGGAGUGGCAAUAGAGAAGGAAUAGCAUGGGCUUUUUUUUUUUUUUUCUUAAUAUGGUUCCUUAACAAUCAAUAAUUAUCUUGCAACUUUAAAGUUCUCCAGCUCCUACAACUCUAACUUCAAAGGAAAUAGGGGAUGCAAGUAUCCUUAACAAGUGGAUAGAAGAGCAAUUAAAAUCUGGCCAGAAGUUCGAUUUUUCCCCAAAGGCCUAUUUUCCCGCAGAGUAAGCAUUGUAGUCUUUAAACUGUUCUUUACAAGGGUAAACUUUAUGCUUAGGGUAGUGAUCGAUACCUCUUCUAAAUGAAUGAAUUGAUUCCCUUCCCCCUACCUCUUGUAGCAAGAAACAAAUGAUCAGCUGCUGUUGAGGCAACUUCAAUACAAGACUUCUCACCUAAGUUUGGACAGAUCAUUGAUAUUGCAAACCCAGGAACAGAGUGAACUAGCAUCUCUGCAAUAUUUUCAAGUUCUUUGCAAUUGAAAAUCCAAGUUUUGCCAACAGCCUGACAGUUCAAACAGCACAGCACAAGCCACCAGGCUGUCUUAUAUAUCAAUAAUUUAUCAUUAUUCUGUGAAUAUACUAGACAGUCAUUUAAAAGUUAAACAUACACUUUGAAUGAUGUGUAAUCACUUGCGUUCACCACUACCUUGAUAUCAUGGGCAAACAGCUGAAAGUUAUAAUUAGUAAUGCAUGGUUCUUGUACACCAUUUUGCGAGUGGGAGGUUUAUAGAGGAAGCAGACACUUAGAGAUAAAAAUCUCAUGGUCAAGGACAGAAAUAAGUUCACAUCCCCAAAUUCUCAGCCUGAUUUGCUGUUACCAAAUCAAGUUAACACUUUAUGGUGGAGUCCAGAAGCCCCAGUUAAAGGCUGAUAUCUCUCUUAUUUUGUGAUACAGUACAAAAAGGUAAAAUAAAUCUAUAACAAGACAUUGUUUUACACGUAUUGCUAUUUCAGAUAACUCUGACAGACCAAAAAGUCCUGAAUUUUGGUAAGAGCUCUGAACAUGCCUUCACACAUAGAAGAAAGCAGCAAGAGUGAUCAGGGCUCAAGAAAACAUGAGAGAUACAGACAGACUUUCAGAUAUGUAAAACAUGCCCAUGACAGUGGUGGAUAAGAUAAAACAGAUAUAAAUUUCAAUGAAGAAUCUGACAUCAAGAAGUAGAUAAUGAAGUUCUGAAACUGGUAUUUGAGAAAGGUUUCUGGAUGUUUUAUUUCAAUAUUUGAAUUUUAAAUAAUGUAGCGAUUAAUGAUGUCAAUAAUGAUAAACAAUAAAACAAUAUAAAAAAGUUAAUCCACAUACCACUCCUUUUCUGAUACAUAUACCAGACUUUUAACAAGUUUAAAAUAUAUAGAGAGAUAGAUACACUUACAUACAGAUUUGAGAAUACUUGGAAACAUAUUAAGACUUUCCUUCUCUAAUAUUUUUAAGCGUAGUUAAUUUUAAAGUUCUUCCCUUGCUUGUCAACUGAUAACACAAAAUAGUUGUUUCCACACUUAACAGCAUUAUUACCAUAACAUAUUCUUCCUAGAAUAAUGAUCCUCUGGGCUGUGCUUGCCUCUGACAACCACAAUCUCUGGAUGCGAUAAAAUGCAGCUUCUCAAUGUACGUGUCCCAUGCCACACACGAUUCCGAGUGAGUGAUCUGAAUCAUGUAGCUCUCAGUGUCAUUUUUAUAACAUAUUUUGUCUCAUUCUGAGGCUGACAGAAGACAUGAGAAUCAAUAGAAAUACAGGAAAAUAGAGAGGAAACUAGAACUAGGAAAAAUGGGUAUGAAGCACUAGAGAUAUACAUAAUCUUCAGUGAGAUGAGAACAUUUUGGCAAGAUAAUUUUGACAGAUAGCACACCCCCAGCCAGUGGUUGAUCUGUGUAAGAGAAUGCUUGCUGCUGUUAUUUUCUUGUUUGUUAUCCCCUAGAGUUCUUGUACUGGUAUCUUGAGAAGUUAUUUUAUCAUUUAUUGAAAUGUUCCAUAUAUCCUAACAAUAAAUAGUUAAUGCUGUGAUAUUAAAUGUCUGAUGUCUGACAUGAAAGGUCUCAGUUGCAGUUGUUAAGAGAUGUGCACUUCACUUUUCAUUUUUAGUGUCCGUUUAAAGAUAUAUAUAGAAAUUCACGAAGGUACUAUAUGUGUCUUGUUUACCCUAAGCUUUUUUUUUUUCUUUUUCUUUUUUCCCUCCUGUUAUUUUCGAUAUAUUUAGUUGUUUUGUUUUGUUUUCAUACAAACUGGUUGCCUGUAUUUCAAGGAGAAAAAAAUUUAUCUGGUUAACAGGUUUAACAAAGGAACAUAACAAGAGGAUAAACAGUCCAACCUGAUGAAAUGUACGUUUCUGAUAUAACCAACAUUAAAAUAAACAAGAUUAAAAAAAAAAAAAAAAAAGAGAGAGAAAACCUUAGAGUACCUCAAAGCUUUAGGACUUCUUGCCGUUAAAAGGAUAAAAUAUUAAAAUUGCUGUUGUUCCUGUUUGUUAUUUUCUGGGCAUUCCUCUAAUUACUUUUACAUGUAUUCCUGUAUGUAAAGGAAAUCUUUUUUCUUUUUUUUCUCCCCAACAUUCAGAGAGAUCUCAGGUCCUAGGCUACCAAACUUAGAGAAACAAAGGCUGGCUUUGAGAUUUGACUUUAUUUCUACAACUUUUUUAGGUGUCUGAAAAAAAAAAAGUGUGGGGUCUAUUAAUAGCUUACAUUUAAAUCAACCCAUAUUGUGGUUUGGAGAGGAAUCAAUAUUUACAGUCCCAGAUAUUAUGUAAGGUAGAUCUUGGUUUAUCCUUUACUGCUGGUAAGGUUUUCAGCUGAGUAUCUGACAAUGAGAAAACUUAGUUAGAUUUGGAGAUUUCAUUUAAAUGAAGUUCCCAAAAGUUAAAUCUGAUAUUAAGCUGUAUCUGAACUUACUGAAAACAGUGUUCCUUGGUAAGCUCUGAUUUACAGGUAGUUCUAGCUUACCUAGAAAUGAAAGUAGCUUAUUUUGUGCCAGCCAAUGCUGGAAAUAAGCAGCACAGGAGACAACAGCAAUGGUCACAGAAUUAUGUAAAAACAAAUCAGCUUUAUUUUGAUUUGCUUUUUGUAAUAGUGGAGAAAGUUCCUUUUGAGUGUAGCCAGUGUCAUCAGUUACAAUAGUAAACGUAAAUUACUUAAAAGCCAGUUUCAACACAUUUUAGGUAGCCUGACUACUCCAUUCCAUGAGUCAGUAACAUUAGGACAUAUCAUGCCCAUAUCAUAUCACUUAAAUUGGAGAAGGCAGAACUUUCUAAGGUAAAACCCUAAAGUAGGUCUCCAGUAAUUCUCCUCCUCUCCCUGCCCUGAGUUUUCUAGCCCUGCUCCCUUUUCUGGCCAGACAUUGUGUGACUGACUGAGGAGGGACAAGAAAGGAGCUGAGCCCAUGAAAAUUCUUGAAUUCUGGGGGAGAGUGCCAGGCAGAACUGAUGGCCUCUGAUGGCCCAGACAAAAGGGCUAAUGCAAAGGAGUGGGUGAGAAUAUGUGUCUGUGGGUCACAGCUAAAAAUGGAUCAUGUGAAGCCUCCAUGCAGCUGCACAAUUAUUUAAGUGUUAUUAUUAAAGUGGUUGCAAGCUGAGUAUGGGCAGGAGACAACGUUUGGACUCAACAAACAGGCAUGACACUGAGCUUCUGAAUCAGACUGCCUAAACUUACACUUAAAGAACAUUUUUACAACACUCAAAAUUUAGGAAAAAUAAGGAUUAAAAUGCAACUUGUAAUCAGUUUCUUCUUGCAUUAUUUUGUUUGCCUAAAAUAAUCAGUCUGGAGUACUAGAAGGAACAGCUCUCUAACACAAAAUCCUGGAGUAGUUCAGACAACAGCUACAACCAUGUGAUCUAAUUCAGUUAUCAUUCAGGGGAUUUUUUUUUCUUCCUUUUUUUUUUUUUUUUUCCCUAAUCCCAUUUGAUUGGGCACCAAACUCUUAUUUAUUUAUUUAUUUUUUGCAAAGAGAGCCUUAGUCUUAACAAAACCUUCCCUUGGACAGCUCUGUGAAUGACACCAUUUAUUUCUCUGGUGAAGAUUUCCCCAAGUGGAACACUUUUCAAAGGCAGGGGCCCUCAGGCAGAAUCCCAGCACAGGUUGCAUGCUCUUUUUAUGGUUCUGUGGCUGACAGCAUGUGCCUUCUCCACAGUGAAUCAUCAAUGAUAAAGAAAGGCAAGAGGGUGAGUAUAUGUGCACUUUAUAUCUGAUGUUUGGAAGGACCAUGACUAGGGAGCUAAUACACUGGCUGCUGGAGAGCUCUAGUCACUUCAUUGUGAAUUAUAGACCGGGAAAGUGAAUCACAUUAAAGACCUAACCUGCAGAUGAAUACAAAUUUGGUUUUUCAUUAUAAAUGACGUUUGUGAAAUGCAGCUUUGCUUCCUAGCAGGAGAAGGAACAAUCAAACUAAAUGCUAAUGCAGCAGCCCUAUCCUGUCCUGUGACGCAUGGUGAUCAAUUGCUUGUUCUUCUGCUGUGGACGUAACACAUCUUCAAGCAGGGAAACACUUUAGUCUAAGGUGUGGAUUUAAUUUGGCUAUAUUUCUUGCUGCUCUGUAGAGCGUUUCUGAGCUAUGGCAAAGAAUAUAUUUAUUUAUUUAUUAGUUUGUCUGUUUGUUUCCAGAGACGUUGGUUGAAAGUAAUUUUUUUUAUAAGUGUACAGCUUUAAAGAGCUCAUAACAUUAAUUGUUUUAUGUCUUGUUCAAGCUGUUCUUUCUGAUGGUCAGUGACAUAUCAGAUUUGUUUCUAUGUUAUGAAGUCAUAGGCUGGGUGCAACAUUAAAUAUCCUUUUUUCUCUUGAUUUGGAAUGUUUUAUGUACAGACUGGAAUUAGUGGGGAUUAGAUCAAACUAUGACUGCCAAAUUUCCUUUUUCCUUCAGGAUAGCUGCUUCCUCCCUAACAUGCAGAUUUGGUAAAUUAUGAGUCACAUUUGCCUGUUACUCUCUCUGCAGAUGGCUUUGUUAGUGUGUUUUUUUGUUGUUGUUUUCUUUUUGAAAAUGCCAGACAAGAGUUUCUCUACUGUACAAGUAAACAGCUCUGUGAUUUGGUUAGUUAGGGUCAUCUGAAGGAAAGAGAGAAAUAAAUGCGUUGAAAAGCACAGCUCUACUAAUUGAGUUUUAUGAGGACCAACGAAAGCUUGCUUCUAAACUUCUAAACUAAAGUUUCAGUAUUACUCAGAAGAGAGUUUGCACAGGCUUGCAGAGGGCAGCAUGACUUUCUGAAAGCCUGUCAAAAUUGCCUUACACAGGGGAGUGGUGCCUUUUAAGAGAGAAAAAAAAAUGUCCUCAGCCUUAGAAGUGAAGCAUGCAGGUGGGGUUUCCUUUGUGGUCACAUAUCUUGCUCAUUUGAUCUAAAAAUAAGAAAUCUAACAGUAGAUUUUAUUGCAGUUUCCAACUUGUGCUCAAGUUCAGGCAAUUUGCUUAAGUUUUGGAAGUGAUGGGACAAUUUGAACUGGAGCAACUAGCAUCUGUCUUGCAAGCACAUUCUCUGUUUGGGAUGAAAAGAUGAGCAGAAAUUGAAAGCAAGGGUUAAUUAUGAACAAAUGGGUAAUUACCUGGAUGUGGGGGUUUCUUUUUCUUUUUUGUUUUCCUGUUGCAACCUUCACUGUCAUAUAGCUACUGUUAGUUCACUUUCCAUUCUGCACUGAUACCUCUAUGCAUUCAAAUGGAUUUCCCCACUGUCUUUCUGAUUAAAUAAAAUCCUGGGGAUUCUUCACACAUUAAAUAUAAUUACAAAAGCCUUUGCAUAUUGUGCAAUUACCUCUUCUUUUGUUUUCCUAAAAAAUACAGUAGACAGCUCCCUGUCAGGACACUAUAAUUAUCAGGUGAGUAUCACGGCAUCACUCUAUGGGAGAAAUCUCCAUAUAUAACGUCGCAGUCCAAGGUUAUAUGUUGAUAGGCAAAGCCACAUCAAAAAGAGUUGUUUGCACCAGUAUCUUCAGGGGAUGUAAACAGGUAGUAGUCUGUUCAUUCCUAUCAUGACUUCAGAAUCUAUUACAAGCAGAAAAACAUUUGUGAUUUAGAUCAAGAGGUUUCAGAGUAGACAACCUCAUUUCCUGUCCUGCACCCCACACACUCCUUCCCAUCCCCAAAGUCCUUCCACAUAAGAGACAACCUCAUCUGCACAUUGCCAUUGCCUGGAAACUGAUAUCCCUCUUCCAGCCUGGCUUUAAACAGUGGAGCUCUAAUUAUGGCAUUAACCACUCAUUUUUUAUCAUGUCCAUCUUCACUAAUGAAUAUUUUUCCUGUCAUACCUAAGGUGCAGAUAGUGAACCCCUUCUGAGAAAACAAAUAAAUACACAUAUAUAUGACUUCAAAAACAGAUGUAAUUCUGGGAAAUUAAGUCUUUUAUGUGAUGAUGUUUAUGAAGGUUAAAUAUUCUAAUUCAAACCCAUCUUUAGUUCUGGAACAACUAAUUUGCUCUAGAAAUCAGAAAUGUAUCUGUAUUUUUAAGUUGUAUACCAGAAAGGGGAAAAAAAAAAAAAGAGAGAGAGAAAGAGAAAAAAAACACUUUUUAAAAGCUCUGAUCCUCCUUAUACAUCUACACUUAUAUAUCUACAUCUACUGCCAGAGUAGAUUGCAGUAGAUAAGAGGUAGAUGAAACCAAACAGCCAGUAUAAGAGGGAUCAGCAAUACCCGGAGUCUGGUGAAAGAGGUUUUCACUAAGAGGCCUUCCACCUCCAACCUCCCCACCAUGACUCUGCAGAAAAGUCAGGGCAAGCCUGGGAAUUCCUAAAUUCAUAACACUGCUGCAGACUGAAAUCAUGGACAAGACAAAAACACCUUGCCUUCCAUUCUUUUUGCAAUCAUAACAGGUAACUCUUAGCAGCGUUGUGCUCUGCCCCUUCUCAGCUGUUGUAAAAGCAUUGGUCCUGUCUGUUUCUGACCAGGCUGAAAAUUUGUAUGUCCCAGGCCUUACCUUUUUUUCUUUUUUCAAUGCACUCAAUUGAUUUUAUAAAGCAUUUGACCUGUCCCUUCAAAUCUCACUUCUCUGGAAAGAUUAGCAGUACUGAGGACAUUGCAGUUUUUGAUGCUGACAAGCCAUUUGAAGGGAGCUGAGAAUGUAUGUGCCUAAUCCUGAGCAGCAGAAGUCUCUCUUUGGUUUGCGUGACAGAACAGAUGUAGUUUGGGCAUAAUUACAGCUGGAUGGGGCUGCAUCUUCCUCAUGUUCCUUCAGUGCCGUCAUGCUCAGUCAGAACUGGAUACAAACUUCAGUAGAACAAGAUAAAUGCAUGAAGGUUAGAGUGGAUAAAAGUGCCAGACUGGAAUACACCUGCAGUCUUGGCCCAGUCAUCCCUCCCUCUUGCACCUUAGUUUCCUCAUCUGUAAAUUGUGAAUAGUAAUGUUAACCUUCUCUUCACAGAAACAUGAAGAAAAAAAUUACAGAGGGCUACUAAGAUCACCGUGGUCUGUAGGAGAAAUUCUAGCACCUGGUUCAGUAUUCUACUCAGGGAGCACCACAGUUACUUUUUGGUACCCCAACCAUUCUUCUUGGCCUAGAUUUGCAGGUUAUUAGGAGAUCUCAGUAUUUUGUCUACCUCAGGUGAUCUUGAUCCACUUGUUCCUUUCUUUUCUUCUUGUGAAGAUUGUGAAGAUGUGAACUUGUGAAGAUGAAAGACCAUUUAUUCCUAAAUAUGUGUGGUUUUGUUUGCUUGUUUGUUUGUUUUUUCCUGCGUAUAAGCAAUAUUCUGCUGCUGCAGCUGCUGCACUUUCUGCUACUGCUGCUAAAGGGAAUCAGAAUAUUCAAACAAAUAUGUACUAAUGUAGUUACAGUAGAGAGAGAGGGCCUCUGACUGUUGCUAGACAUGAAUCAUGUGCAGAAUGAGAGCAUGGAUGUCUCUGCUCCUAGACAUUUACAGCCUAUCCAGGCAAAUGAAAUCACAUGAAGAAAGAAGUGUGCUAGUAACCAUCUCCAGAGAGCAGACAGAGCAGAAUAAAAAUAAAGGGAUUUGCCAAAAACAGAGAUGCGAAAUGGAGGAAGAGCCUGGGACUUGGUUUGGGUUCCCGAGGAGCAGCCCAGCUCCCUGCCUCGCUCUGGCUUUCUGCCCUGCUUCUCUUUGCAGUAUUGUUUGAGUAUAUCCAGUCAUAACAUCAUACCUCCCGGGGAGGAGCUGUUUAUGUGCAGACAGAAGAAUCAUGUCUGACUUUCAUAUCCUUGUAUUUGAUUAGGAUCUCCAGGGGGAGAAGAGCUGAAGAUCUUACUAAAGACCUUAAACUGAGCAUUAAUGAUUUCUUAAUAGAAAAAGACUGUUAAAGUUCUGGGACAGUGGUCACAUAAUCACCUACCCUGCUUGAAGAUGACUGACAACUACACAAAAAGACCACAACAUUUGAUGACUAUGGAAGGAAUAAGGAAGAGGAACAAAAGAGAGAAAAAGCUGAAAUAGGCUUUGAAAUAUGUUUGUGUUCUAGGGGAAGCAAAUUACUUCCAAAAUAUGGAAAUGAAGACACAGGGGCAGGAAAGUAGUGCAAAGAGAAGGCAUUUUUCCCUGACCUCAUUUGGAUAUCAAGGACAACUCCUAUAUCCUUAGGGAACAGAUAAGUAGUGCAAGGACAACAGCACGUGGUGGACAGUGAAAGCAAGUUCCCAGCAAUAUCAAGUCACUUGGGAAACAUGAUGCAGCCAGUGGUGAAGCCCUUGUGUAAUUUACAGUUUCUUUGCUGUCUGGGAUGAGUAGGGUAUGUUGUGGGGUGUGAUAACAGAGUCAUUUCAGGAACACCUGCAGAGAUGUAAGAAGUGACCCUGUCUGUGCUCUUUAGCCACUCAAAAUGAAGUUACCUCCUCCUUCACAAAAAAGGUCUCUAAUCCAAUUCACUGUAAAGUCAUCUGGGUUAUGACUUACCCUUGCUCAUGAUCUACCUGCUAUUACUGUGAAUUGGAAUGGGAGUGUGUGUGUGAUUCUUUGCAGUGUCUUGCAAUCUCCAGCCUGGUAAUGUCUUAAACCAUUCUAUCUAGACCCAGAAAAGCUCCAUUACUGAGACUAUACUAUAUAAAAGAUGUCAAAAGAACCCAUGUCCCAAACAACUCUGUACUUAAAAACUUCACAGUUCCUAACUUAUUUCUGGCAAUUCUACCUUAUGCAACCAAAUACCAGUUACUGGAAAACCUGUGGUAGAAUUGCAAAAGCUACCAGACCUCUGAGAUGAGCUUUUGCACUGGUAAGAAUGAACAACAUUGACAAUGAACAUUUCUUCUUCUUGUUUGGGAAAAAAUAACAUCUCAGCAUAGACAAUUUUGGAAAGAACAAGCCUCCUCUGCGUCUAGCUUGGGGCAAUCAAAGUGUUUAUGUGCCCUCUCUGUCCUGGCCUAGGAGGCAGAUGCAUCAAAACAGUGAAUCCUCUUCUGCAUCACUUUUCUUAGUGCUUCCUGGUUCUGUUAGAUCUGGAAGAUGGAGGGGAGACAUGAGUACAGGUGUGUUCAUAGGGUCUCAAAGGUCAGAGACUUGUCCUGUGAGUGCAUGUUUAUGUUUUGGUAAGGACAAAUCUCAAUUUAUCAUUAUAUUAUCAACCAAUUCACUGAUAAAUACUUUCUUGCAAUCUUACCUUCAGCCUCUGCAAGAACUGAGGACAGGGCAAUAGAUAUCUAAGUAUGAUAUAUCAUCAGCAUGCCUAUGGAAUUUGAGUAAAAGCUUUUAAGAUGUUCCCAAGAUCUAAUAAUUCUUCAGUCUCUUCUGCCAUGAAGACUGAGAGACAAACCAGUAAUCACAACAUGAAAUAUUGCAUGCCUUAGAAGGUUCAUUUGCUUAGACUUGGUAUCCUCAAAUGUUAAUGUAACAUCACUACAAAACAAAGCCUUCUAUAUACCCAGGUACUGGACUGGCAGAAGAAUAUAGUUGGGAAAUGUGACUUCCUUCUCUCUCCAGCCCUUAACUUGACAAAAGCAAUCAGGACAGCUAUAAGCAGCCUUCCAAGAGUAAGACAAAACAAAAUGCCAGCUAUACCUAAGAUCUUGAAAUAUAUGUCCUGGUUCCCAAAGAUUCAUCUGGCUUUAAAGUCAACUGCUACUGCUGUGACAAUUGGUGAGUGACCAGCAGCCUUGGAAUGUGUGGUGCUGUUAGCUCAGGACAGUGACUGAAAGUCUUGUGUCUCAAAGAAGAAAUGGCUAUGGUUCUUAAGGUUAGUUUGUCCCUAUCCCAUCUUCUCCCCAGUGAAGAUCCAGCAAUAUGGAGGCUGGCUCUCCCCAUCUCUUUUAUUUUCAUAUUGGCUAUACAUAAGCAUUUGGUUUUUUGGGGGGAGGUGGAGGGGGGAGAAGAUGGGAACAUCCCAUCUCCACUGCUGUGGAGACAACAAUGAGGAAAGGUAAUUGCAGGUUGGAAGUUUCCUGGAGCUUCUCACCUUCCAUCUCUCCAAUGUCCUGAAUGCAUUUUGGACUGCUCUUCUGGCUUAUUUUACAAAUGCUGAUCCAUCCUUCCUGCCCCCUGACUUAAUGCUUCCAAUUUAUUUAAAGAUAAGCUCUCUCAGAAGUUUGAGUCUCACGGUGGAUUCCCCUCUGACAAUGCCUGUAAGUUAGGUUUUCUCUGCCUUUCUGCUAUCCCACUCCUCUUAUAUGUACCAUAUAUCAACAUUGAGCCCGCAAAAAAAAAACAUAAGGUGAUAAGAGAAGGAAAAAAGAUUAAACUAACACUAAUAAAUAAAUAAAUAAUAAAAAAUAGGGUUUAUCUAUUCCUUUAAAUAGCUCGACUUCCUAAGACCUCCUGGUAUGUAAUUACCACAAGAUAAGCUCUGCAGAAAUCCACUCAAGCCUCAUCCCAGGAACAUAUUGGUUUGCCUGCAACUGCUCACUCUAGCAGAUUCUGGCUUUGUUUACCUCUGGGCAGGAUGACUGGACAGAUUGAUGGACUGAAGAUGUGUGACUGAGAUACAAAUCAGCUUAUAUAGCACAUCCUAACAUUCUGCUACCUUCAAGGAGCAGAUGUUAUAUGUCACAGCGAGAUAGGAUUUUGGUGUAAAAACAGACUCCUGGCCUCUGCCCUUUGUAGAAGAGGGAUUUUCCUUAACCAAGUUUGGAAAUAACAAGUGCAAUGAGGCAGUGCUCUUUCACCCUCCCAAAAGUAAGAGAGAAACAGAGAAUUGUGACUUUGCAUCCUUCCUUUCUAAUUUAACCACUUUUUUUUUUUUGAAAUUACUGUAAUGAUUUUCAUAUAUUGGGUUGUGUCUGUUAAUUGUAUAUUGUUUUCAAGUCUACUGCCUUUAAGUCACUGUGCAUAUUCUCAGCUGUGUGUACGUGUAUUGGGAGACUUACCCAAUAAAUAGGUAAAAUAAUAGGCUCACUAGAUAUGCUACACAAUUCAUACCUACAUCAGUGUAUUCACAAUUUUCUUUGCGUUUCCCAGUGCAGCUAGUUUCUUCUUUAGUUUAUAAUAGUGUGAUAGUGAUUGCUGAAGUUCAAAGUCCUAUGCACUUUUUCUCCUGCGUCAGCCAAUCUAUCACUCAUUUUUUAAGGUAUGAGAAUAACAGAAGUUAAAAUCAAAUCAUUUUUAAUGCUCACUGAUAGCAGAUUGAAUCUUAUUUCCUUUUAGUGACAGAAGCGUAAAGGUCAUACAGUAAAACAUUCUAGAAACAGCUAGAAGAAUCUUUUGUUUGUCUUUGUAGACCUAAUUGUGUGAUUUCUUUUCUUAUUCAGACCAAUAACUUAAGAGAAAAAAAAAUAAGAAUAAUAAUGAUUAAAAACAAACAAACAAACAAACAAAAACACACAGCUCUGUGGCAUGGGAUUCUCUUCUACUGCAGAGGCUGAGACCUCAUUGAAAACGUUCAUUCUCAUUGGUAGCACCAUAGGAAGAUAUCACCAACAAAGAGCCAGAAAUUCUUACCCCUGUGAAUAACAACACCUCAACUAGCAUUUGAUUUUCCCACUGUUAAUUUGCUGUAGGUCCUUAGAACAGCUUCUGUCUAUGUUCAUCAUCAUUUCGUUUAUCUCCACCCAUGUAGAGCUGUGUCAGCUGUGUCUUACAGUCAGGACAGGCUGUAGAAAUUUGAAUAGCCAUUUCAUAGUAUUUAUAUAUGUGGUUUUUGUUUGUUUGUUUGUUUGUUUUUUCUAUGAGAUACUUAACAUGUGACAAAUGAUUUAAAUAAAAUUAUUGUAAAACAUUUCUGUCUGUAGGUCCCAUUUGAGUUACUAGAUUAAUAUUGAUAGUUGGUAUGGAAAGACAUAGUUUAAACCAGCCUAUUAAUUUUUGUGGGAAUUAUACAAUGAUUUGUCUUCAUCUGGACUUUUAUCUAAUGUUAAUUCCCAUAGUACAGGUAAGAAGAUUGUUCAGAUCUUGUUUCUUCUCUUUCUUUCUGAGAAGAAGACCUUAUAUUCUCCUUGAAGAAUUGUAUGAGGCCAUCUGUGCAUUAGGUCAACAACAAAGUUAGAGGUUAUUCUUCUUGAUUUCUUCUGGAAUAUUCACCAGACUCGCUCAAAACAUAUUAAAAUGGGCAGCUUCUCUUUUAGAGAUAUAAGAUCAGAGAGCAAUCUGUACAAGCUAGAGAGUGAUCAAGCCAUUGGGUGGUGGCAGAUGGCCUUCCUGAUUCCUGAAACCUCAGUGACUGCUGGUUUCUGCAGUGGUCUCAUGCAUUGUGCUUACUACCCACUCUCUUCACCUUGUAUCUGUUUGCUCAGCACCCUUUUCCUAUAGGCUGCUGACUCCAAAACAUCCAAACUCUUAUGCACUGGGGUAGCUUGCUUAUUUCGGGAAAAACAUCUCUGUUCUGUAAGUUAUGACUCUACUUGACAGCUUUACCAGAUUGAGACCAAAAUACUCAACCCUUUUGAGAGUGGGAUUGUCCUGUUGUAAUCCAUGUGGUUGCCAAUUAAAUUAAGGUUCUGUUGCAUUUAUAAUUAAGAAUCAAAUCCUGAUUUUGUACAUGGAAAGGUGGGAGUUGAACAAUUAUAUCAUAAAAAAUAAGGAGUCACAAACUUGCCUUGGGACUAAUUCCUGUUUUAAGUAAAUUCUUUAAAAUGCCGGCUUUCAGUUCCAGUUUAUACAUCUCCAAGAAGUACAACUGUUGCUGUCAAUACCACAGAGCUAGAAGAAGUUCUGUUUCCCCUCCUGCCCUAUUACUCAGCAAAGGACUAUUCAUAACUGCCCAAAAUAAAUAUGACUUUAUAACAUAAGGCUUUUACUAUGUAUUGCCAUCCAUCCAUCUUUUUGAAAUAUUUCACUAUUUAUGUUUAUGCAUUUAUACUCUUUCUUCUGGUAUACUGCUUUUUAAGUAACAUUGUCUAGGGUUAUGAAUUCAUGUGGAAAGGAAAACACUUAAGGACUUCUUAUUUUCUUCAAGUGAAUGAGGAAAUGCACAGUUAAUGCAAGCAAAAAACAUCACCAAGACAAAACAAAACAACAAACAGACCAAAACACUGCUAUGCUUUUUCAUCUCUUGGUAACAGCACCAUUAUUAGUGUUUGACCAUAAUGGUAAAAGAAGGUAAGGGGUACAUCAAAGAACAAGAAAAUACAGUCCUGUAGGUCAAACGUUGGCUUUCAGGAAUGGUGUCAGAGGCAAACUGCAGUAGCUGUUCUCUUUCCUCUAGUAUUUGCUCUGCAACAGAGCUCAGACCUUGAGUUCAAUCCUAUUCCAAAACAAAAAACAUUGAUUAUUUCUCUAUAACUAAAAGAAAUUUCCUUUUCACACAAAAAUGUCAGGAUGAAUUUCAUAUUGUUAUGUAGCUUUGUAUGCUCAUUUAAAAAAAAACUUUUUUUUUUUUUCACCGUUUAUAAAUUAUGAAACAUAACAAUAUUCAUUUCUUUCUUAUUCUCAGACAUAGUACUGACCUGAGUUCAGGAACAAGAGAGUUGCAGGCAGGGUAUUGAUAUAUUUUGAUAUUGCAGCUUACAGCAACAAGGAGAGAGAAACUGUUGCAUUAUUUUGGAUAUUUCUAAUAAAAAAUAAAAUAUAAAAAAUAAAUAAAAUAAAAAUAAAAAUAAAAAAAUAAAAAAUAAAAAAUAAAAUAAACAUAAAAAUAAAAAUAAAAAUAAAUAAAAACAGAGAGCAACAAUUUCUAAGAACAGAGAAACCUUACCUUCCUCAGCAUAUGUGAUAUUCUUCCUUGCAUAAAAUUUCUAAUAUUUUCUGCAAUAUAUAUAUAUUUUUUUUCUUUCCAUUGAGGAGUAAAAGACUGGAUUAACAUUUGGGCUGUGCUCUAGGUUACUACAUUAGUAAAGUUACAAUGCAAUGCAUUUGAUUCUACAUGCUACACAAAACCAUUUUUUAGUUUCGUUUAGUUGUAAAAAGAUAAACUGGAAAAACAAACACACACACACACACAAAAAAACAAAAACAAAAAAAAAAAAACACAGAUGGAAUAUAUUCUCCAAUGUAAAACUUAAUUUAACUCUACUAUAACUCUAGUUAGAGCACCUCUCUGAUUAUAUUCCUCAUCUCAGAGGGAAAGAGAAAUCAGAAUUGUGUACUCUUUAAAGGUAAAAUCCACAGAGAGAAAUGUUAACAUUUAUAUUGUUCCAGUGCCCUUUAAUUCAGAUCCAGAUUUAACAUCCUAAAUUACCAUCUUUAGGUGAUCUAUUCUCUGAAAGUCAAAAAGUCCUAUUUUUUAUGCUCAUUUCAAUGUUGUUCAGCCAUUAAUGCUCACAACAGUGUCAUGAAGUUAUGGUAUGGUUCUUUAUUUGCCAAGAUUUUAGCCUUCUUCUACUCAAAGUUGGAGUCACACUGGAAAAAUCAACAUGGCACUUGGGUGUGGUUUCCUUCAGUAUUUAAAUUCCCAAUAAUAAACUUUUUUUAAUGUCAGCUAUACAGAACUACAUGCAGCACAACUGGCUUUUGUAAAAAUUCCUUGACCAUGUAUAACAACAUGUUCUUUCCAGAGAAACAGUAUUUAUAAUAACCAACAACCAGCAGUGUGACAUAGUACUCUAAAUGUGGAUCAACAUUUCAGUGCUCCAAUCAAAUUUGAUUUGCCUCUAAGGUGUUGCUGUGUCAGUGGGGAUCCGGAGCUUUUCCCUUGGCAUAGGAGUUCCUGCCUUGGCAAGUGAACACUCAUCCACUACAUCCAUUCUUUUCCAACAGCAUUUCCCAAAUGUGCCUACAAAUGAUUUGUCUGGGUGAAUGGUGCUUGUAGAUACCUGAAAGUCAGGCAAAGGGAGGUCAUCCAGUAAGGUCUUCCCAACUGUAAAAUGAAGUUAUUAAUCUAGUCACCAUAUUGGAUGAUGUUUGGUGAUACCUGAAACCAGGUCUUGCAUUCCUUUCUGCCCUGGAAAUGUCCCCUACCAUCCACCGAGUUGGAUGGGACCAUAUAGCCCUGUGUUUUGUAUCCCUGCAUGCAGAGGUUAGUGGCUCCUCUCAUCACAUUCCUCCCCUCAAUCUCACUGGCUCAUUUCACCCUCUGUUUCCUCUUCCUGCUCAAGCUGGCAUUAGUGAUUUGUCAGGAAAAGGUUUAGACUAGCUCUGCUUCCCUGAAUAUGGUGCGAACGAACCCAUUGAGGUGAAACAGACUCUCAAGUGAUGGUGAGGGGCUUCCUCUUGUAGACACCUUGGAUGGUCACGUGUUCACUGGAGAGGAUUAGGUGUGCCUGUGAAAGAAAAUGAAAUCUCUCCCUAUCUUUCCCCACCCUGAAGACGAUAACCUUGCACAGGAGGAAACUCAAUGCUUAUGCUUGAGACAUAGGACACAAUAUUGCAAUCAUAUUUAUUCUUUUAAUUCUCCACAAAUUGAAUACAAUUUGAAUCCCAUAUGAUUAGAAUAAAGAAAAGCAGGAAGGAAAGACUGUAGAAGAAGACUAAAUAAUGGAAGAAAAAAAUAAAAGUGCACACACACACUGUUAAAAACAAACAAAAAAACAAGGAAACAAACACCUCUCCCUUAAAUUUAGAUACUUAAAAGGAAUCUUAAAAUGACAUCUAUCCCCUCCACAGACACAUUUCUUCUCUAGGGCUUGCUGGGAAAAAUGUAGUGGCAGGAAGGUAACUACUGAUUCACAUAGAAUUGCCAUGGAUGUCAAGCAGGUCACCAGUUGUUUUACUGAUGCCUGUAUUAGGAGUUUUAUUCCACUGUUUAAAUUUCAUUACAGAGAAGAAAGAAAUAAAAAGUUAUUUGGUGGUAUAGAGGUGGCUUUACAUGCUCUGGUUUCCAUAACAUGGCACUGCUUAUUCACAUACCUCUCUGUGGGUCUUGAAAUAGGGUGGGAUUGAAGCAGUAGGUGAGGGGUGAAAGUGUUCCUGAAAAUACCUGUACAGUAGAUACAAAAGCAUUAUUUGAAAUGCCCUUUUAUUUAACUGACAGCAAAAAGUAGUUUUAAAGGGACCUUUUCUCACCCCUACCUCUCUCCAUCUGGCAGUGAAGCCUGGAAAAUGAAGUAGUCUGAGGACUCUGACCUCUGGAGACCUGAUUUGAAUAUGUAUCUUUGACUAAGAGUGUUCUGGGGUAUGCUCAUGAUGUUUCAUCUGAGGAUCUUUGUUCCAUGCUCAGCCAUACUGCAUACAAACUUGUUCUCUCCAUGGGUAACAGCUAAACUGAGCCAACUUGCGUCUUUCAGAAAGAAAGCAAGCUGCGAGCAGCAGGAUCAUUUGCUUCUGGUCCUUUCCAGAUUAGAAAGAUCAGCCAUGAUCCAGAACAAGUUUGUUUCCCUCCCCCAGCUCCUUCCCCAUAGAUAUCUGUGUCCUUACAUAUGCCAUAACAUACAUCAAGAUAGACUACACACCUUCAGCAUUCUGUAGCAAGGAACCUGUUGGAGGCUGCAUUACCACUCUUUCAUCAUUUUGGACACAGAAAACUUACAAGCACACAAGGUCAACAGGGGCACCAAAGAGUAGAGGGCAAUGUAGACCAAGGCUUAGGCUGUAAGCACAUUGCCGUUGCACUCUAGAGGCUGUGAGCUUCUAGUCCUCAACAGCUUGGAAAUGAACCAUUUCACAGUAUUGUUUUAGGAUCUGUGGUCAUCCUCAGAUGGCCAGGCCCAGUUUGGUGAUGUUCCCCUGUCUACAAAGAUAUCUCUGCUCUCCUAAAGAAAAAAAGCAUGGUUGGCCUGUGAAUGAAAUAGCAUUGCUGGGUCUGCUACAGUCACCCAAAGACUAAAGACAAAUGCAUCAACAAACCAAGAUAGGAAAAUCUAUAAAAUCCAUAAAAUCCACUGCCCACAAAAAAAAAAAAAAAAAAAAAAAAAAA